AGGAAUUUGUGCCACACAUUUCAACAAUUUCCUUAAUGGAUUGAAUGUGCUUUUUAUGAAUUCAUCAGACAUACUUAAAGAAAAAGGAGAAUGAAACUGGAAAGAAAAUAUUUGCAGUUGCAAAAGAAUCCUGUAAAUAAAUUCAAAACUCAGCAAAAGAAGAAACAGUUUUAAACAUGGUUAAUUUAAUGAAUAAUUGGAAGGUCCCAUUGUCAUCAUUUAACAGCAGGUUAUUAGCAGCAGUUUUUCAGAAAAAUGAAGGAUAGCUGUCAAUGGUAAAUGCAGCAUCAGAAUAUUCCCCAGGAAAGUUUACUCAGAGAGUUUGGGAAAGUAUGAAUAAGAAAUUAGAGAGGGAAACAGAUAACCAGAAAACAAAGAUUUUAAAAGAAAAGAAUUGCCACUAUUAGUAAUAUGAUAUAUCUGACUGGGAGCAACAUGUACUAUUCAAUAUGGAAGGAUUGACAAUUUUGACUGAGAACAAAGUGAACUCUAAUAAUGCUAUGACUAUCAAUCAAUACUUGACUGAAUCAGAGGAGUAAACUAUUUACAUAUUUGUAAAUAUAACAGUUAUAUGUUUGCUUGAUUAUUGAGGCAUUCAAAAUAAAGAAAGUUGAAAAACCUUUGAAAAAGUUAUAAUUUCAUAAUUUUUUGGUUAUGUUACUAUG